AUGUUCACUGUUAUAUUCAUGUGUCUGUGGCUUUCACUAGGUGACUCCAUGGCAGAUUCAAUACAGCCACUUUCCCCUCGUGAAGUUGUAGAUGAAGGUGAUGAUGUUACUCUGUCCUGCAGAUACGAAACUACCAGUACUGCAGCAACCACCUACCUGCAGUGGUACAGGCAAUAUCCAAAAUCUAAACCUGAGUUCCUACUUUACAUCACUGCAAGUGGCCGUAAAAGUGACCCUCUUCCAUCACGUCUGUUUCCUAAAGUUGAUGAUAAAAAUAAACAGGUGGAUCUGCUCAUCUCCUCUGCUGCUGUAUCAGACUCUGCACUAUACUACUGUGCUCUGCGGCCCACAGUGACAGGAAAUCCAACUGCACUGUACAAAAACUUUAACACAGUUUUGUUAUAUUGAAAGCAUGAAUGAAUGAAGACAUUCUUUCACAAUAUGAGCGCAGAGCUUGAAGGGAUCUUUGAGAAAAGGUGAUACAAUCUUAAUUCCUAGGGCAUUGACGGGACAGAAGACGGGCUUUCUACAAGCUAGUUGUGAUUAACUUCAACUUUACCAGCCUCAGAGCAGGUUAGAUGUGUAGAGUAAGUGAUCUACUACAGCUAAAAAGAGAGCCACCUUUAUGAUACAGAUAAGCCAGAGUUUAACCCAAAGUUAGCUCACUAACCCUGAAAUCCUGCUUCAUGGUACAGCCCUCAGCAUAAACAAUUACUGAAGAUGAAUGAGUGUGCAGUUCCCUCUGAAAGUAUUGGAACACAAAGCCAGUUCAGCUGUUUUUGCUCUACACUGAAGACAUUGGCGUUUGAGAUCAAAAGAUGAAUAUGAGUUGAUAGAUCAGAAUUUCAGCUUUCAUUUCCUGAUAUUUACAUCUAGACGUGUUAAACAACUCAGAACAAGGCAUCUUUGGCAGCAGACUGCCCAGUUUUUAGGUGAGCAAAAGUAUUGGAACAAAGAGUCUUAAAGUAAAUAACUCAAUGUUUGGUUACAUAAUUCUUGCUUGCAAUAACUGCAUCAAGCCGGGGACCCACUGAAAUCACCAAACUUUUGCAUUCUUCUUUUGUGAUGUUUUCCAGGCUUGUAGCAGCAGCUUCUUUCAGCUGUUGUUAGUUUUGGGGGGUUUCUCCCUUCAGUCUCCUCUUCAGGAGGUGAAAUGCUGCUCAGUUGGGUUAAGGUCUGCUGAUGGACUUGGCCAGUCUAAAACCUUCCACUUUUUCCCCUGAUGAAGUGCUUUGUUGUGUUGCAGUGUGUUUUGGGUCGUUGUCUUGCUGCGUGAUGAAGUUCCUCCCAAUUAGAUUGGAUUCAUUUCUCUGUAAAUUGGCAGACAGAAUGUUUCUGUAGACUUCUGAAUUCAUUCUGCUGCUACCUUCAUGAGUUCCAUCAUCAAUAAAGAUUAGUGAGUCUGUUCCAGAAGCAGCCAUGCAAGCCCAAGC